rnacentral:rRNA from 1 species
GAUGAACGCUGGCGGCGUGCCUAAUACAUGCAAGUCGAGCGAACGGACGAGAAGCUUGCUUCUCUGAUGUUAGCGGCGGACGGGUGAGUAACACGUGGAUAACCUACCUAUAAGACUGGGAUAACUUCGGGAAACCGGAGCUAAUACCGGAUAAUAUUUUGAACCGCAUGGUUCAAAAGUGAAAGACGGUCUUGCUGUCACUUAUAGAUGGAUCCGCGCUGCAUUAGCUAGUUGGUAAGGUAACGGCUUACCAAGGCAACGAUGCAUAGCCGACCUGAGAGGGUGAUCGGCCACACUGGAACUGAGACACGGUCCAGACUCCUACGGGAGGCAGCAGUAGGGAAUCUUGCGCAAUGGGCGAAAGCCUGACGGAGCAACGCCGCGUGAGUGAUGAAGGUCUUCGGAUCGUAAAACUCUGUUAUUAGGGAAGAACAGAUGUGGAAGUAACUGUGCACGUCUUGACGGUACCUAAUCAGAAAGCAACGGCUAACUACGUG